rnacentral:rRNA from 1 species
ACCUAUUUGUUGCCUCGGCGGUGCCUGUUCCGACAGCCCGCCAGAGGACCCCAAACCCUGAUUACAUUUAAGAAGUCUUCUGAGUAAACCGAUUAAAUAAAUCAAAACUUUCAACAACGGAUCUCUUGGUUCUGGCAUCGAUGAAGAACGCAGCGAAAUGCGAUAAGUAAUGUGAAUUGCAGAAUUCAGUGAAUCAUCGAAUCUUUGAACGCACAUUGCGCCCGCUAGUAUUCUGGCGGGCAUGCCUGUCCGAGCGUCAUUUCAACCCUCAAGCCCCCGGGCUUGGUGUUGGGGAUCGGCGAGCCUCCGCGCCCGCCGUCCCCUAAAUCUAGUGGCGGUCUCGCUGUAGCUUCCUCUGCGUAGUAGCACACCUCGCACUGGGAAACAGCGCGGCCACGCCGUUAAACCCCCAACUUCUGAACGUUUGACCUCGGAUCAGGUAGGAAUACCCGCUGAACUUAAGCAUAUCAAUAAGCGGAGGAA